GGAUCGAAUGGUCAUAUUUAUUUAAAAACCAGCUGGCUUGAUGGGAAAACAUAUUUUUCCCCCUUUUAAAAAAAUUUGAACAUUGUACUCCAUGACAUCUCAUCGUCUAGUCCCUGUCUCAAACGGUUUCAGGAAGGACCCAUAUCUUGAAUGGCUUUUUAAAUAUUUUAAUGUCUGCAUCACAUGUUGUCGUAAAAACAUGGAAGUGUUGGUCAGUAUGUGAAUAGCUUGACCGAAUUAUUUUAUUUCUACCGAAAUUCCUGUAACUCGUAGAAGUUUACAACUAGUACUCGGUGCAGAUGGGUGACAGGUGGUAGCAUGUAGCGUAUCUCAAAAGGAAAUACAUCAUCUACCCCAACUCCAAAGACUUGCCGUUGCCAUCAACCGAAAAGUCUUAAAGCUGUUGACCUUUUUAGAGACGGAAUUCGUUGUGUUCAGUCCCAGAGCAGCAGUGACAGAUGGCCACCCACAUGCAAAUAGACAUGCACUAAUUAUACAUUGAAGUGAUUCCGCCAUACUUGUCGGAUCGUCGGAUAGUCUUUUUACUCAACACGACUGUAACGGUACACAAGAGUGGGGGGGGGGGGACAACUUCCUAAAGGAAAAAUGUAAAUAGUACAAAACAGCGUGUGUUAGUAGCGUCAACGACAAUCGAUGUACUCGACCAGAAAAAAAGAUUCUCGAAUGCGAGAAAAAUAAUAGUGCAAAAUCACUAAAAUAAUAAUAGGUU